GAUGAACGCUGGCGGCGUGCUUAACACAUGCAAGUCGAACGGAAAGGCACAAGCUUGCUUGGGUACUCGAGUGGCGAACGGGUGAGUAACACGUGGGUGAUCUGCCCUACACUUCGGUAUAAGCCUGGGAAACUGGGUCUAAUACAGGAUAGGACGCUGCUUUGGAUGCCAAUGUGGAAAGCUUUUUCGGCGUGGGAUGAGCUUGCGGCCUAUCAGCUUGUUGGUGGGGUAAUGGCCUACCAAGGCGUAGACGGGUAGCCGGCCUGAGAGGGUGUACGGCCACACUGGGAUUGAGAGACAGCCCAGACUCCGGCGGGAGGCAGCAGGGGCGAAUAUUGCACAAAGGGAGAAAGCCUGAGGCAGCGACGCCGCGGGGGGGAUGACGGCCUUCGUGUUGUAAACUCCUCUCGCUAGGGACGAAGCGUUUUUGUGACGGUACCUGGAGAAGAAGCACCGGCUAACUACGUG
rnacentral:rRNA from 1 species